rnacentral:lncRNA from 1 species
UAGAUAAAUUAAUUCAAGAUAAUAUAUCCGAAUCCAAUCAUUUUCACACUUGCACCUCUAGGGUAACCCUCUCUUUGUUGCCUUACGAUAUUACGGUCAUGUCCCGCGAAUAUGGGGAUACCCUUAGGAAAGACCCUUUUGAUUAAAUCAUCAUCAUCCCUAAACAGAUAAGUCAUAGUCCCUUCUAUCAAAAGGUCAAUGUCCCUACAAGAUAAAUCAUAGUCCCUCGAACGUUGCCUUCGAAUAUAUGACCUUGUCCCUCGAACGUUGCCUUUGAAUAUAUGACUUUGUCCCUCGAUGACCCUUCGUUGUAGCCUACGAUUAAAUGAU